AUUGAACGCUGGCGGCAGGCUUAACACAUGCAAGUCGAGCGGUAGCAGGAGAAGCUUGCUUCUCGCUGAUGAGCGGCGGACGGGUGAGUAAUACUUAGGAAUCUACCUAGUAGUGGGGGAUAGCUCGGGGAAACUCGAAUUAAUACCGCAUACGACCUACGGGAGAAAGGGGGCAGUUUACUGCUCUCGCUAUUAGAUGAGCCUAAGUCGGAUUAGCUAGUUGGUGGGGUAAAGGCCUACCAAGGCGACGAUCUGUAGCUGGUCUGAGAGGAUGGUCAGCCAGACCGGGACUGAGACACGGCCCGGACUCCUACGGGAGGCAGCAGUGGGGAAUAUUGGACAAUGGGGGCAACCCUGAUCCAGCCAUGCCGCGUGUGUGAAGAAGGCCUUUUGGUUGUAAAGCACUUUAAGCAGUGAAGAAGACUCCAUGGUUAAUACCCAUGGACGAUGACAUUAGCUGCAGAAUAAGCACCGGCUAACUCUGUGCCAGCCGCCGCAGUAA
rnacentral:rRNA from 1 species